UACGGAGGAUGCGAGCGUUAUCCGGAUUUAUUGGGUUUAAAGGGUGCGUAGGCGGACUGUCAAGUUAGCGGUAAAAUUGAGAGGCUCAACCUCUUCCCGCCGUUGAAACUGGUGGUCUUGAGUGGAUGAGAAGUACGCGGAAUGCGUGGUGUAGCGGUGAAAUGCAUAGAUAUCACGCAGAACUCCGAUUGCGAAGGCAGCGUACCGGUAUCCAACUGACGCUGAGGCACGAAAGCGUGGGGAUCAAACAGG
rnacentral:rRNA from 1 species